rnacentral:tRNA from 1 species
GGGAAUAUAGCUCAGCUGGUAGAGUGCUUGCCUCCUAUGCAGAAAGCCCUGGGUUCAAUCCCCAGCACCA